AACGAACGCUGGCGGCAUGCCUAACACAUGCAAGUCGAACGAGACCUUCGGGUCUAGUGGCGCACGGGUGCGUAACGCGUGGGAAUCUGCCCUUGGGUUCGGAAUAACAGCGAGAAAUUGCUGCUAAUACCGGAUGAUGACGUAAGUCCAAAGAUUUAUCGCCCAGGGAUGAGCCCGCGUAGGAUUAGCUAGUUGGUGAGGUAAAGGCUCACCAGGGCGACGAUCCUUAGCUGGUCUGAGAGGAUGAUCAGCCACACUGGGACUGAGACACGGCCCAGACUCCUACGGGAGGCAGCAGUGGGGAAUAUUGGACAAUGGGCGAAAGCCUGAUCCAGCAAUGCCGCGUGAGUGAUGAAGGCCUUAGGGUUGUAAAGCUCUUUUACCCGGGAUGAUAAUGACAGUACCGGGAGAAUAAGCCCCGGCUAACUCCGUGCCAGCAGCCGCGGUAAU
rnacentral:rRNA from 1 species